CCUCAAAUUCCUCCACAGAAUUUAGUCCUCAAAGCUCUCCAGUUGUGUCUGGUAUGAUCAGUGCUCCUGUCCCCAGAGCUGCCGCAUGCUCUGGGAGGUUUUCGUUUUCAGCUCAUCAAAAUCCGAGUGCGAUGCCUCCUGCAUGGCGAUAGCCUCCGUCUGCUGGGCACACGCGGCGUUGCUUUCCAGACGCCUGUCCUGUGCUAAUUCCAACCUGGAUGCCACCAGAACUCUACAAACCAAGAGGAUGCAAAAGUAUGGCUUUGCUGCCGUGCCUGCACCGGGAGAGCCUGGAUACAACCACGAGCCAGCGGCGGCCGAGGUGCUGGUGCAGUAAAGGUUAUGCUCCCCAGGAGUGGGUGGGAGCAGGCACGAGGUUUGCUUUGCAGAGUACACAGCCUUGUUUGAUGUUCGGGGCUCCUCCGCCAUCCUCCUGUACAGCCGUCCUCAUGGGCCGGGUGGUUCAGUAAGAGCACCAGAGAAAACAGGCUCUGAAGGAGGCAAGAGUUGUCACCGUGACAUCGUGCGGCAUCCAGGGGCUUGUCGCGGUGCAAGGCAGCCAGCACUGCCCAUCAGCAUGGCCUCAGGCCCCAGGGCAAAAGACCCCCGUCUCUGCCCGUCCUCGCUGUUUCACUGGGCAGAAGUAUUUGUGGAAAUAGCGCUGCUUUGCUGUUCAACGCGGUGCUUAAAACAAACUGGUCUUCCUAAUUUCACACCCGCUGACGUGAUGUGCAGAAGGUGCCUGGCAGCUCCCGUCUGCAAAACAAAGAAGAGCAGGAAACGUGAGCAGCCUCCACUUUCAAAGAAAAUUCAUUUUGGUGUUGAGGCACACGUUUAUUCCGGAAGAAAUCAUCAAGGGGGUUGCUAAAAAUAGAUUUGAAAUUACGGCGGAGAAUAAAGCGAUGCCACCCGUUUCCCUCCCCUUUGAG
rnacentral:lncRNA from 1 species